AACGAACGCUGGCGGCGUGCUUAACACAUGCAAGUCGAACGCGAAAGGGGCUUCGGUCCCGAGUAGAGUGGCGCACGGGUGAGUAACGCGUAGAUAACCUGUCCUGGUGUCUGGAAUAACGUCUCGAAAGGGGCACUAAUACCGGAUAUUCUUGCUUUCUUUAAGGUAUGCAAGGAAAGGUGGCCUCUGGAACAAGCUACUGCACGAGGAGGGGUCUGCGUACCAUUAGCUAGUAGGUGGGGUAAUGGCCUACCUAGGCGACGAUGGUUAGCGGGUCUGAGAGGAUGAUCCGCCACACUGGCACUGGAAUACGGGCCAGACUCCUACGGGAGGCAGCAGUGAGGAAUAUUGCGCAAUGGGGGCAACCCUGACGCAGCGACGCCGCGUGAGUGAGGAAGGCCUUCGGGUCGUAAAGCUCUGUCAAGAGGGAAGAAAUGCAUGGUGGUUAAUAUCUGUCAUGUUUGACGGUACCUCUAAAGGAAGCACCGGCUAACUCCGUGCCAGCAGCCGCGGUAAUACGGAGGGUGCAAGCGUUGUUCGGAAUCACUGGGCGUAAAGGGCGCGCAGGCGGCCUGAUCAGUCAGAUGUGAAAGCCCACGGCUUAACCGUGGAAGUGCAUUUGAAACUGUCAGGCUUGAGUACCAGAGGGGAAAGUGGAAUUCCCGGUGUAGAGGUGAAAUUCGUAGAUAUCGGGAGGAAUACCGGUGGCGAAAGCGACUUUCUGGCUGGAUACUGACGCUGAGCGCGAAAGCGUGGGGAGCAAACA
rnacentral:rRNA from 1 species